rnacentral:rRNA from 1 species
CCUACGGGAGGCAGCAGUGGGGAAUAUUGCACAAUGGGGGAAACCCUGAUGCAGCGACGCCGCGUGCGUGAAGAAGUAUUUCGUUAUGUAAAGCUCUUUCAGCAGGGAGGAAAAUGACGGUACCUGACUAAGAAGCCCCGGCUAACUACGUUCCAGCAGCCGCGGUAAUACGUAGGGGGCCAGCGUUAUCCGGAUUUACUGGGUGUAAAGGGAGCGUAGACGGCAGGGCAAGUCUGGAGUGAAAGUCCGGGGCUCAACCACGGGACUGCUCUGGAAACGGUGCGGCUGGAGUGCAGGAGAGGUAAGCGGAAUUCAUGGUGUAGCGGUGAAAUGCGUAGAUAUUAGGAGGAAAACCAGUGGCGAAGGCGGCUUACUGGACUGUAACUGACGUUGAGGCUCGAAAGCGUGGGGAGCAAACAGGAUUAGAUACCCUAGUAGUC